GAUUGCUAACCUUCGGGACCUGUGGGUGGUAUGAUCGUGUUCGUGAGUGGGAACCUGCAACUGCCGGGAGAAGUGCACUUGCUCAAGUUCAUUCAGAUGUUUAAUCUCCUUCCAACACCACAGGGGAGCUUCUGCGUUAACAAUGACAUUUUCCGUCUCAACUAUGCUUAAUGUGCACCUUCAUCCACAGGAAAGAGUUGCUCUACGCAUGUUCUGUUCAAGUUUGAUGAACGUGACCGCAGUUAGUGGGCUUCAGGAUCUUGGAGCCGAAAGAUUUUGUGGCCACUUCGAGCAUAUUGCAGGCACCGAAGUGACGACCCUUCAGAUUUGGCAGUUCUGUUCCAGCCAGUUAUCGUCAGCAAAAUCUUCCCAUCCUUGUUCUCGACAAUCUACUGGAGAAUUCUCGAUUGGUAUAGAUUCUUGCUAACCCAUCGUAAAAUUCUUUGUAGGCCAAUCACUUCUGGAUUUUUUCAUGUAAUUUAUAUCCAUGGUAGCACUUUUGCAUAUUAUAAAAUCUUGCGAAGGGGGUUGUGAAUCUCCUAUCCACCAUGGAUGAGUUGAUUUUUAUUGUCAAAACGUUGUCUAUUGCCCAAGCCA